rnacentral:lncRNA from 1 species
AUGCUUUCAUAUCAGAGAACAGAUGAGGUGAAGCUGCUUAAAGACAGGGAGGGUGAGACAGGGAGAAGUAGCUCAGAGUUGCAGGUGAGACAGGGAACAGGCGCAAGCAAAGAAGUGCAGGUAGGCAGGCAGGAUGCUGAACCCAACCAUGCUAACCCGAAGCUCAUUGCAGUGCAGCAGCUCACCAACAAAACGCUAAGGUUCCAAGAAAAGUGGUACCGUGAAUUUCCUUGGUUUGGUGGAUGUGUCUCUGACAAAUGUCAGAUUUAACAGUUAGUUUGAAAUAAAAGUUUGUUUAACAGUGGAAAUUGUGUUUCACAUUAUUUAAAUUAUAUUCACACACAAAACGUGAAAAUUUUUAGUGAAAGUUUUUGACUUUAUAAAAUUAUUCUCUCAAGUCUUGGCUAUUCAACAAUAAAUAAAGUAAGACAUCUUUUUCUUAUACAUAGUAGCCUAUUAUUCUUUUUGGCAGAAUUUAUCAUUAUAAACAACUUAAUUAUUUCCUGGAUUUUGUAUCACCAUAGUCCCUAACUGUAUGUAAAUGGAGGAAAUGGGAUUCAAAUCGAAAACAUUUUUCCCCAUUUUGUGUCCCCCCCACUUCUCAAACCAAAGUUACACCCUUGGAUAGAUAGAUAGAUAGAUAGAUAGAUUCAGAUUUAACAGUUAGUUUGAAAUAAAAGUUUGUUUAACAGUGGAAAUUGUGUUUCACAUUAUUUAAAUUAUAUUCACACACAAAACGUGAAAAUUUUUAGUGAACGUUUUUGACUUUAUAAAAUUAUUCUCUCAAGUCUUGGCUAUUCAACAAUAAAUAAAGUAAGACAUCUUUUUCUUAUACAUAGUAGCCUAUUAUUCUUUUUGGCAGAAUUUAUCAUUAUAAAAAACUUAAUUAUUUCCUGGAUUUUGUAUCACCAUAGUCCCUAACUGUAUGUAAAGGGAGGAAAUGGGAUUCAAAUCGAAAACAUUUUUCCCCAUUUUGUGCCCCCCCCACUUCUCAAACCAAAGUUACACCCUUGAGUAUACUUAAAUGUCAUUUUAAGUAUAUUUCUGAGGAGUACAUAAAGCCCAUUUCUGAGAAGUACAUAAAAAGUAAACUUAAAGCAUACUUUCCUAUUUUUAGUUUAAAAGAUGUAUACUAAUAGCACACUUGAAUAAACUUCUUUUUCAUAAGGGUAUUUGCUACCACUUUAAAAAAAAUAUAGCGGAACAACACAAAUGUACACAUAUGCAAGGCAGCCGGAACAUGGAGUGCAC